rfam:Agrilus planipennis Contig26347, whole genome shotgun sequence.
UAGCUUAGUGGUCAAAGCAUUGGCGCGUAAAGCCAAAGAGCCCGGGUUCGAUUCCCGG